rnacentral:rRNA from 1 species
ACGGGAGGCAGCAGUCGGGGAUAUUGCGCAAUGGAGGAAACUCUGACGCAGUGACGCCGCGUAUAGGAAGAAGGUUUUAGGAUUGUAAACUAUUUUAGACAGGGAAGAAACAAGACAGUACCUGUAGAAUAAGCUCCGGCUAACUACGUGCCAGCAGCCGCGGUAAUACGUAGGGGGCAAGCGUUAUCCGGAAUUAUUGGGUGUAAAGGGUGCGUAGACGGGAAUACAAGUUAGUUGUGAAAGCCCUCGGCUCAACUGAGGAACUGCAACUAAAACUAUAUUUCUUGAGUGCAGGAGAGGAAAGCGGAAUUCCUAGUGUAGCGGUGAAAUGCGUAGAUAUUAGGAGGAACACCAGUGGCGAAGGCGACUUUCUGGACCGUAACUGACGUUGGGGCACGAAAGUAUGGGGAGCAAACAGGAUUAGAUACCCUGGUA